AUCUGUACCGGGAGAACCGGGAGCGCCAUCAAUACUGGCACCGGGACCCCCAGAACCGGGACUGGGGGCUCCGAGACGCCGCCCCCCCCAUCCCCGGUACUGGACUCCCCCAGGCAGUAUUUGGUGCCCCCAAUGGUCCCCGGAUGGGUACCGAGGGACCCCCCCAGACUGCAAUGGAGGCCCCGGGACACCCCCCGGUAGCAGCACCGGGAUCCCCCGGGUGGCUUUUGGUAGCCCCUUUCGGUACUGCGACCCCCGGGACCCCCCAAAACGGUACCAGAAGCCCCGGGACCCCCUUCACGCAGCAAUGGGGGCACCGGGACCCCCUCAGCCCCCCGAGGGUCCCCUCCAACCGGCACUGGGACCCCCAAACUGCUACUGGGACCCCCCCUUGUGCUCCCCCCGUGCCCUUCGGGGGUCCCAAUCCGAUCCCAGUGCUCCCUAUGGGUGUCCGUCUGUCCCCAUCGCACCACAUCUGACCCCGUCCAUCCGUCCCCAUCCGCUGAGCCCCACUGGUCUCUGUCCAUCCGUCUGUCUGUCCCCGUCUGCUGUCUGUCCCCACUGUCCCACCCCAACGUCCCCAUCCGGUGACCCCCCCCCCACCUCACCCCCCGUCCCCAUUGUCCCCCAUUUCCCCGUCCCCCCUUUCCUGUUGGUCUCUGUCCCCACUGUUCCCAUGUCCCCCAUUGUCCCCAUCACCUCCCCAUCUCCCCGUUCUCCUCCGUCUGUCCCACGUCUGUCUGUCCCCACGUCCCCCUUCUGUGUCCCCAUUUCCUUCCCUGUCCCACCAUACGUCCCCAUUGUCCCCACUGUCCCCAUUGGUCCCCAAUGUCCCCCAUUGUCCCCAUGUCCCCCACUGCCUCAGUUCUCUCCGUCUCCCCCAUCGCCCCCAUCGCCCCCAUUACAUCCCAUAGCUCUGUGUUGUCCUCCACGUCCCACUGCCCCCAUUGUCCCAUUGUCCCCCAUUAUCCCCACUGCCACUCACUGUCACUGUGUCCCCCCAUUGCCCCCCAUUUCCCCAUCGCUCCCCACGUCCCCCCCCGUCCCCAUAUCCCACAUUGUCCCCACCGCGUCCCCCUCCC
ensembl:lncRNA